rnacentral:rRNA from 1 species
AGAGUUUGAUCCCGGCUCAGGAUAAACGCUGGCGGCGUGCUUUAUGCAUGCAAGUCGCACGGUCAAUCGCAAGAAAGACAGUGGCAAACGGGUGCGUAACACAUAAGUAACCUGCCCCUAAGUGGAGAAUAGCUCCGGGAAACUGGAGGUAAUGCUGCAUGUUGUGGCGAGGGUAACGCUUCGUCAAUAAAGCCCGUAAGGGCGCUUGGGGAGGGGCUUAUGUCUGAUUAGCUAGUUGGUGAGGUAACGGCCCACCAAGGCUUUGAUCGGUAGCUGGUCUGAGAGGAUGGUCAGCCACAAUGGGACUGAGACACGGCCCAUACUCCUACGGGAGGCAGCAGCAAGGAAUUUUGUGCAAUGGGCGAAAGCCUGACACAGCGACGCCGCGUGAAGGAUGAAGACCUUCGGGUUGUAAACUUCUUUUCUCAGGGAAGAAUAAUGACGGUACCUGAGGAAUAAGCUUCGGCUAACUACGUGCCAGCAGCCGCGGUAAUACGUAGGAAGCGAGCGUUAUCCGGAUUUAUUGGGCGUAAAGAGGGCGCAGGCGGCCUUUCAAGUCGAAUGUUAAAACUCCCGGCUUAACUGGGAGAGGUCAUUCGAUACUAUUGGGCUCGAGGGCUGUAGGGGGAGAUGGAAUUCCCGGUGUAGCAGUGAAAUGCGUAGAUAUCGGGAGGAACACCAGUGGCGAAAGCGGUCUCCUUGGCAGUUCCUGACGCUUAAGCCCGAAAGCGUGGGGAGCGAACAGGAUUAGAUACCCUGGUAGUCCACGCUGUAAACUAUGAGCACUUGCCAUAGGGAGUAUCGACCCUCCCUGUGGCGAAGCUAACGCGUUAAGUGCUCCGCCUGGGGAGUACGGUCGCAAGACUAAAACUCAAAGGAAUUGACGGGGGCCCGCACUAGCAGCGGAGCGUGUGGUUUAAUUCGAUGCAACACGAAGAACCUUACCAAGGCUUGACAUGACAGAAGUAGCUGAAGGAAACGGAUGCCAACCGUUAAGUCGGUAGCUGCCACAAGUGCUGCAUGGCUGUCGUCAGCUCGUGCCGUGAGGUGUUGGGUUAAGUCCCGCAACGAGCGCAACCCUCAUUGCCAGUUAAUUUCUCUGGCGAGACUGCCCCGCAAAACGGGGAGGAAGGUGGGGAUGACGUCAAGUCAGCAUGGCCCUUAUGCCUUGGGCCACACACACGCUACAAUGGACUACACAAUUGGUUGCAAGAGCGCGAGCUGGAGCCAAUCCGAUAAAGUAGUUCUCAGUUCGGAUUGCAGGCUGAAACCCGCCUGCAUGAAGCUGGAGUUGCUAGUAAUCGCAGGUCAGCAUACUGCGGUGAAUACGUUCUCGGGCCUUGUACACACCGCCCGUCACGUCAUGAAAGUCGGCAACACCUGAAGUCGAUAGGCUAACCGCAAGGAGGCAGUCGCCUAGGGUGGGGCUGAUAAUUGGGACGAAGUCGUAACAAGGUA